ensembl:snoRNA
GGUCAUUGAUGAAAACAGCCAAAUUUGAGCGUCAGAAAACCUUGCAGUCUACCUAAAGCACGAUGUCUGAAGUGCUGACA